rnacentral:rRNA from 1 species
UUGAACGCUGGCGGCAGGCCUAACACAUGCAAGUCGAGCGGAAACGACAUUAUUGAAUCUUCGGAGGAUUUAAUGGGCGUCGAGCGGCGGACGGGUGAGUNAUGCCUAGGAAAUUGCCUUGAUGUGGGGGAUAACCAUUGGAAACGAUGGCUAAUACCGCAUAAUGCCUACGGGCCAAAGAGGGGGACCUUCGGGCCUCUCGCGUCAAGAUAUGCCUAGGUGGGAUUAGCUAGUUGGUGAGGUAAUGGCUCACCAAGGCGACGAUCCCUAGCUGGUCUGAGAGGAUGAUCAGCCACACUGGAACUGAGACACGGUCCAGACUCCUACGGGAGGCAGCAGUGGGGAAUAUUGAACAAUGGGCGAAAGCCUGAUGCAGCCAUGCCGCGUGUAUGAAGAAGGCCUUCGGGUUGUAAAGUACUUUCAGUUGUGAGGAAGGGUGUGUAGUUAAUAGCUGCGCAUCUUGACGUUAGCAACAGAAGAAGCACCGGCUAACUCCGUGCCAGCAGCCGCGGUAAUAC